GGGUGCUAGGCUGGCCUCCCGGUGCAGUGACUCCAGGCUUCCUGCCCCAGGGAAAGAUCCCACCUCAUGGACUCACCCCUAGCAUCUCUCAGCCUCAAAGGACCCUGGCCAGCUCUGUGGUGGCAGCAGCCUGAAAGUCCCUGUGGUCUGGGAACUUUUAUCAUCCUGAGAAACAAGAAAAACAGAGGCAACUGGAAAAGCUUUGGAGGAGUGGCCAUGUCACCUCAUAGCAUGCAUAUGUCUUCAGGGUGGGUGCCAGCCUCCGGCAUCUGUGCUCCUGUUCCUCACCACACGAUGGCCCCAGAGCCCCAUGAAACCUGUAAAUGA
rnacentral:lncRNA from 13 species